GUCUCAGUUCGGAUUGGAGUCUGCAACCCGACUCCAUGAAGCUGGAUUCGCUAGUAAUCGCGCAUCAGCCACGGCGCGGUGAAUACGUUCCCGGGCCCUUGUACACACCGCCCGUCAAGCCAUGGAAGCCGGGGGUGCCUGAAGUGCGCUGCCGCAAGGAGCGCCCUAGGGUAAAACCGGUGACUGGGGCUAAGUCGUAACAAGGUAGC
rnacentral:rRNA from 1 species